rnacentral:tRNA from 1 species
GCGGUGUUGGCGCAAUGGUCAGCGCCCCGGUCUUCCAAACCGGUGAUGCGGGUUCGAUUCCCGUACACCGCCCGA